rnacentral:rRNA from 1 species
CAAACGACUCUCGGCAACGGAUAUCUCGGCUCACGCAUCGAUGAAGAACGUAGCAAAAUGCGAUACUUGGUGUGAAUUGCAGAAUCCCGUGAACCAUCGAGUUUUUGAACGCAAGUUGCGCCCGAAGCCAUUUGGUUGAGGGCACGUCUGCUUGGGCGUCACGCA